rnacentral:rRNA from 1 species
GUGGGGAAUCUUGCGCAAUGGGCGAAAGCCUGACGCAGUCAUGCCGCGUGAAUGAUGAAGGUCUUAGGAUUGUAAAAUUCUUUCACCGGGGACGAUAAUGACGGUACCCGGAGAAGAAGCCCCGGCUAACUUCGUGCCAGCAGCCGCGGUAAUACGAAGGGGGCUAGCGUUGCUCGGAAUUACUGGGCGUAAAGGGCGCGUAGGCGGACAGUUUAGUCAGAGGUGAAAGCCCAGGGCUCAACCUUGGAAUUGCCUUUGAUACUGGCUGUCUUGAGUACGGGAGAGGUGAGUGGAACUCCGAGUGUAGAGGUGAAAUUCGUAGAUAUUCGGAAGAACACCAGUGGCGAAGGCGACUCACUGGCCCGUUACUGACGCUGAGGCGCGAAAGCGUGGGGAGCAAACAGGAUUAGAUACCCCUGUAGUCC